rnacentral:rRNA from 1 species
UAGGGAAUCUUCCACAAUGGACGCAAGUCUGAUGGAGCAACGCCGCGUGAGUGAAGAAGGUCUUCGGAACGUAAAACCUCUGUUGUUAGAGAAGAACACGAGUGAGAGUAACUGUUCAUUCGAUGACGGUAUCUAACCAGCAAGUCACGGCUAACUACGCGCCAG